GGACACUGUUAUGCAUUCAUGUGUUAAGUGCUAUGGAAAUCCUAUGUACUUAACACACUAUUGCAUAACAGAGUCCAAUCAUAUAUACACAUAAAUAUAAUUU